rnacentral:rRNA from 1 species
UGGCUCAGGACAACGGCUGGCGGCGUGCUUAACACAUGCAAGUCGAGCGAUGAGGCUCUUCGGAAGUGGAUUAGCGGCGGACGGGUGAGUAACACGUGGGUAACCUGCCUCAUAGAGGGGAAUAGCCUUCCGAAAGGAACGAUUAAUACCGCAUAAGAUUGUAAUAUCGCAUGAUAUAGCAAUUAAAGGAGUAAUCCGCUAUGAGGAUGGACCCGCGUCGCAUUAGCUAGUUGGUGAGGUAACGGCUCACCAAGGCGACGAUGCGUAGCCGACCUGAGAGGGUGAUCGGCCACAUUGGGACUGAGACACGGCCCAGACUCCUACGGGAGGCAGCAGUGGGGAAUAUUGCACAAUGGGGGAAACCCUGAUGCCAGCAACGCCGCGUGAGUGAUGACGGCCUUCGGGUUGUAAAGCUCUGUCUUCAGGGACGAUAAUGACGGUACCUGAGGAGGAAGCCACGGCUAACUACGUGCCAGCCGCCGC